AUUGAACGCUGGCGGCAGGCUUAACACAUGCAAGUCGAACGAGUGGCGGACGGGUGAGUAAUUCUUGGGAAUCUAGGUUAUGUAGGGGGAUAACUACGGGAAACUGUAGCUAAUACCGCUUACCAUCGGAUGGGCCCAAGUGGGUUGAGGUAGUUGGUGAGGUAAAGGCUCACCAAGCCGAAGAUCUCUAGCUGGUCUGAGAGGAUUACCAGCCAAACUGGGACUGAGACACGGCCCAGACUCCUACGGGAGGCAGCAGUGGGGAAUAUUCGACAAUGGGCGCAAGCCUGAUGCAGCCAUGCCGCGUGUAUGAAGAAGGCCUUAGGGUUGUAAAGUACUUUCAGCGGGGAGGCGUUACCCGCAGAAGAAGCACCGGCUAACUCCGUGCCAGCCGCCGCGGUAAUUC
rnacentral:rRNA from 1 species